CACACGUUAAUUAACUCUGUGCAGUUAUACACUUUUCAUCCUCCAAUCAAGCAAGGUUACCCGCUGAACUUAAGCAUAUCAAUAAGCGGAGGAAAAGAAACCAACAGGGAUUGCCCUAGUAACGGCGAGUGAACAGGCAAGAGCUCAGAUUUGAAAGGCACUUUUGUGCCGUUGUAUUCUGAAGUUAGGGUCCUGAGAAACGAUGCUUAAGUCUUCUGGAAAGGAGCGCCAUGGAGGGUGAUAGCCCCGUCUAGCAUUGACCUCAUAUAGGAUCUUAACAUGGAGUCGAGUUGUUUGGGAAUGCAGCUCAAAUGGGUGGUAUGCUCCAUCUAAAGCUAAAUAUCUGCGAGAGACCGAUAGUAAACAAGUACUGUGAGGGAAAGAUGAAAAGAACUUUGAAAAGAGAGUGAAAAAGUACGUGAAAUUGUUGAAAUGGAAGGGUAGGCCGCUAACCAUGUAGAGCCGUGUUUGGGGGGAAGAUAAAUGCUGUAGAAUGUAGCUCCUCGGAGUAUUAUAGAUGCAGUUCAUAUUCCCACCCGAGCGCGAGGAUCUCAGGUUCUACUAAAUGGUGGUCUACCACCCGUCUUGAAACACGGACCAAGGAGUCUAUUGUCUGCGCGAGUAUUUGGGUGUCAAACCCAUAUGCGAAGUGAAAGCGAAAGGUUCUAACCUUCGGGUUCAG
rnacentral:rRNA from 1 species